AUUGAACGCUGGCGGCAUGCCUUACACAUGCAAGUCGAACGGCAGCACGGGAGCAAUCCUGGUGGCGAGUGGCGAACGGGUGAGUAAUAUAUCGGAACGUGCCCAGUGAUGGGGGAUAGCCCGGCGAAAGCCGGAUUAAUACCGCAUACGACCUACGGGUGAAAGCAGGGGAUCGCAAGACCUUGCGUCAUUGGAGCGGCCGAUAUCAGAUUAGCUUGNGGUGGGGUAAAAGCCUACCAAGGCGACGAUCUGUAGCUGGUCUGAGAGGACGACCAGCCACACUGGGACUGAGACACGGCCCAGACCCCUACGGGAGGCAGCAGUGGGGAAUUUUGGACAAUGGGCGCAAGCCUGAU
rnacentral:rRNA from 1 species